rnacentral:rRNA from 1 species
AAGUGGAGCAAUCCAUGAGUAAAGUGGCGACCGGGUGAGUAACACGUGACUAACCUACCUUCGAGUGGGGGAUAACCUAGGGAAACCUGGGCUAAUACCGCAUAACAUCUUUGGAGUGGAAAUUCCGGAGACCAAAGGAGCAAUUCGCUUGAAGAGGGGGUCGCGGCUGAUUAGCUAGUUGGCGGGGUAAUGGCCCACCAAGGCUUUGAUCGGUAGCCGGCCUGAGAGGGCGCACGGCCACACUGGAACUGAAACACGGUCCAGACUCCUACGGGAGGCAGCAGUGGGGAAUUUUGCGCAAUGGGGGAAACCCUGACGCAGCAACGCCGCGUGGAGGAUGAAGUCCCUUGGG